ACGAUGAUGCCCACUUGUGGGUGGAUUAGUGGCGAACGGGUGAGUAACACGUGAGUAACCUGCCCUUGACUCUGGGAUAAGCCUGGGAAACUGGGUCUAAUACCGGAUAUGACCUUCCAUCGCAUGGUGGUUGGUGGAAAGCUUUUGUGGUUUUGGAUGGACUCGCGGCCUAUCAGCUUGUUGGUGGGGUAAUGGCCUACCAAGGCGACGACGGGUAGCCGGCCUGAGAGGGUGACCGGCCACACUGGGACUGAGACACGGCCCAGACUCCUACGGGAGGCAGCAGUGGGGAAUAUUGCACAAUGGGCGCAAGCCUGAUGCAGCGACGCCGCGUGAGGGAUGACGGCCUUCGGGUUGUAAACCUCUUUCAGUAGGGAAGAAGCGUAAGUGACGGUACCUGCAGAAGAAGCGCCGGCUAACUACGUGCCAGCAGCCGCGGUAAUACGUAGGGCGCAAGCGUUAUCCGGAAUUAUUGGGCGUAAAGAGCUCGUAGGCGGUUUGUCGCGUCUGCCGUGAAAGUCCGGGGCUCAACUCCGGAUCUGCGGUGGGUACGGGCAGACUAGAGUGAUGUAGGGGAGACUGGAAUUCCUGGUGUAGCGGUGAAAUGCGCAGAUAUCAGGAGGAACACCGAUGGCGAAGGCAGGUCUCUGGGCAUUAACUGACGCUGAGGAGCGAAAGCAUGGGGAGCGAACAGGAUUAGAUACCCUGGUAGUCCAUGCCGUAAACGUUGGGCACUAGGUGUGGGGGACAUUCCACGUUUUCCGCGCCGUAGCUAACGCAUUAAGUGCCCCGCCUGGGGAGUACGGCCGCAAGGCUAAAACUCAAAGGAAUUGACGGGGGCCCGCACAAGCGGCGGAGCAUGCGGAUUAAUUCGAUGCAACGCGAAGAACCUUACCAAGGCUUGACAUGAACCGGAAAGAUCUGGAAACAGGUCCCCCACUUGUGGUCGGUUUACAGGUGGUGCAUGGUUGUCGUCAGCUCGUGUCGUGAGAUGUUGGGUUAAGUCCCGCAACGAGCGCAACCCUCGUUCUAUGUUGCCAGCACGUGAUGGUGGGGACUCAUAGGAGACUGCCGGGGUCAACUCGGAGGAAGGUGGGGACGACGUCAAAUCAUCAUGCCCCUUAUGUCUUGGGCUUCACGCAUGCUACAAUGGCCGGUACAAAGGGUUGCGAUACUGUGAGGUGGAGCUAAUCCCAAAAAGCCGGUCUCAGUUCGGAUUGGGGUCUGCAACUCGACCCCAUGAAGUCGGAGUCGCUAGUAAUCGCAGAUCAGCAACGCUGCGGUGAAUACGUUCCCGGGCCUUGUACACACCGCCCGUCAAGUCACGAAAGUUGGUAACACCCGAAGCCGGUGGCCUAACCC
rnacentral:rRNA from 1 species